CCUACGGGCGGCAGCAGUGAGGAAUAUUGGUCAAUGGGCGCGAGCCUGAACCAGCCAAGUCGCGUGAGGGAAGACGGUCCUAUGGAUUGUAAACCUCUUUUGUCGGGGAGCAAAAGACGCCACGCGUGGCGUUCCGAGAGUACCCGAAGAAAAAGCAUCGGCAAACACCGUGCCAGCAGCCGCGGUAAUACGGAGGAUGCGAGCGUUAUCCGGAUUUAGUGGGUUAAAAGGGUGCGCAGGCGGAAGAUCAAGUCAGCGGUAAAAUUGAGAGGCUCAACCUCUUCGAGCCGUUGAAACUGGUUUUCUUGAGUGAGUGAGAAGUAUGCGGAAUGCGUGGUGUAGCGGUGAAAUGCAUAGAUAUCACGCAGAACUCCGAUUGCGAAGGCAGCAUACCGGCGCUCAACUGACGCUCAUGCACGAAAGUGUGGGUAUCGAACAGGAUUAGAUACCCGGGUAGUC
rnacentral:rRNA from 1 species